CAGUGGGGAAUUUUGGACAAUGGGGGCAACCCUGAUCCAGCAAUGCCGCGUGAGUGAAGAAGGCCUUCGGGUUGUAAAGCUCUUUUGUCAGGGAAGAAACGGUGUGAGCUAAUAUCUCAUGCUAAUGACGGUACCUGAAGAAUAAGCACCGGCUAACUACGUGCCAGCAGCCGCGGUAAUACGUAGGGUGCAAGCGUUAAUCGGAAUUACUGGGCGUAAAGCGUGCGCAGGCGGUUUUGUAAGACUGUCGUGAAAUCCCCGGGCUCAACCUGGGAAUGGCGAUGGUGACUGCAAGGCUAGAGUUUGGCAGAGGGGGGUAGAAUUCCACGUGUAGCAGUGAAAUGCGUAGAUAUGUGGAGGAACACCGAUGGCGAAGGCAGCCCCCUGGGUCAAAACUGACGCUCAUGCACGAAAGCGUGGGGAGCAAACAGGAUUAGAUACCCUGGUAGUCCACGCCCUAAACGAUGU
rnacentral:rRNA from 1 species